rnacentral:RNase_P_RNA from 1 species
AAAGGCGGUUGGGCGGCCGCGGGGACAAAAUCCCUGAGGAAAGUCCGGGCUUUUUGAAAGACGGAUAGCGGCUAACUGCCGCCGAAGGCGACUUCAGGACGAGUGCAACAGAAACAGACCGCCGGCUUUGCCGGUAAGGGUGGAAAGGCGCGGUAAGAGCGCACCUCCGUGCACGGAAACGUGCGCGGGCUGUAAACUCUAUCCGAAGCAACAACGGAAGCUGCGCUUGCGCAAAAGACAAUCUUUCAUGUGCUUCCCAAUGGCUUGAGACGCGCGGCGACGCGCGUCCCAGAUAGAUGGCCGCCAUUCGCGCUUCGGCGCGGAUACAGAACCCGGCUUACAGACCGCCUUUUUAA